rfam:TPA: Bos taurus chromosome 13, whole genome shotgun sequence.
CCCCUGGUGGUCUAGUGGCUAUGACACUGUAUCCCCAAUGCAGGGGGCCUAGGUUCGAUCCCUGGUCAGGGAA